UACGGGGGGUGCGAGCGUUGUCCGGAAUCACUGGGCGUAAAGGGCGCGUAGGUGGCGUGAUAAGGGUGUGGUGAAAGCCCGGGGCUCAACCCCGGGCCUGCCAUGCCGACUGUCAGGCUAGAGUACUGUAGGGGCAGGCGGAAUUCCGGGUGUAGCGGUGGAAUGCGUAGAGAUCCGGAGGAAGACCGGUGGCGAAGGCGGCCUGCUGGGCAGUUACUGACACUGAGGCGCGACAGCGUGGGGAGCAAACAGG
rnacentral:rRNA from 1 species